rnacentral:misc_RNA from 1 species
GAAAUGCGAUACUUGGUGUGAAUUGCAGAAUCCCGUGAACCAUUGAGUCUUUGAACGCAAGUUGCGCCCGAAGCCUUCUGGCUGAGGGCACGUCUGCCUAGGCGUCACGUAUCGCAUCUCCCCCCAAUCCACCAAGCGUGGGAUGCGGGGGAAGAGUAUGGCUCCUCGUGCCUCAUCGGGCGCGGCUGGCGUAAAUGAGGAGCCUCAGGUCACAGACUGCUACGGUGAUUGGUGAAUAAUCAACUCUAUCCGUGUAGUGGAUGGCCAUCAUGGACUCGCAAGACCCUGUGUUGUCCCCUUAUGCGAACAAACCGUUGCGACCCCAGGUCAGGCGGGGUUACCCGCUGAGUUUAA